rnacentral:rRNA from 1 species
GACGAACGCUGGCGGCGUGCUUAACACAUGCAAGUCGAACGAUGAAGCUGGAGCUUGCUCCGGUGGAUUAGUGGCGAACGGGUGAGUAACACGUGAGAAAUCUGCCCUUGACUCUGGGAUAACUGCGGGAAACUGUAGCUAAUACCGGAUAUUUUCCUUGGUGGGCAUCCACUGGGGAAGAAAGAAUUUCGGUCAAGGAUGAUCUCGCGGCCUAUCAGCUAGUUGGUGAGGUAAUGGCUCACCAAGGCGACGACGGGUAGCCGGCCUGAGAGGGUGACCGGCCACACUGGGACUGCGACACGGCCCAGACUCCUACGGGAGGCAGCAGUGGGGAAUAUUGCACAAUGGGCGCAAGCCUGAUGCAGCAACGCCGCGUGAGGGAUGAAGGCCUUCGGGUUGUAAACCUCUUUUAGCAGGGAAGAAGCGAAAGUGACGGUACCUGCAGAAAAAGCACCGGCUAACUACGUGCCAGCAGCCGCCGUAA